AACAUGGGCUGCAGCCAGGGAGACCUCUAAAAAGACAAACACUAAAUGUGAUGAAGAGGGCCUAGAGGUGGCAGUUUGCAGGCACAGCAUAUUGCUUAGAGGGCUGAACAUGUUUAGGGGCGAGAUAUUUGCAUACCCUCUGUUUCUGCAGAAGGAACUGGCCACAAAAACAAACUGCAAGUUCUUCUGCACUGACAUCAUGUGUCGAUAUUGGCCCUAUCUGCAAAAGGUGGCUCAAGCAUUCCCAGAAAUGCAAAACCUUACUCAGAUGAAGCCAUUUCUCUCAGUUAUGCAUGCAAAGGGGCACUCUACAAAAUGUGAGUUUGGACAUCUUGUGUACAUGCUGUAGGUGCAGUGGGGUGGCAAAAACCAAACAGGGGCAGGCACAACAAUUGGUGAAGAAGUUGAACAAGUGAACAGCUUUUUGUCCCGUGUGGCUCUAACUACAAAAUACAUGAGUAAGGCUGCACGAGUAGAU